GGAUGAAGAAACCCAAACUCUGAGAAGGCUGCAACACAGCACCCCUAGAGACACCACCCCUUUUGGUGUCUUGACCAGUCACAGAUGGAGAGUCCCACGGACUGAGACGACAGGGGUCACCUAAGACCAUCAGAAAACACAGGUUUUUACGUUACGACUCAUAAUGGUAGCAAAAUUAUAGUUAUGAGGUAGCGAUGAAAAUAGGUUCCAGGUCUAUUCUGUCUGCCACAGACAAAUGGUACCGUUCACACACCGGCCACACUGUCUACGUGCUCGCCUCUAACCGGAAGGGAUCUCAUCUCAUGAUGCUGGACUUCAUCUUCAAAGCAAGGGGGCUUACAGUAAGCCCGAAUGAUUUCUACCCAUCCCUGAGGACUCCUGCCCCACCAAGCCAUCAAAUUGACUUCCCCCAGUUCUCGUAAGAGGAGGUACUCGAACAUCCCUGAGCCAGGCAGGUACCCCAAAUCCCUAUCCCUAUUAGAGCAACGUAGACCACAGGCCAAGUGUCAGCUACCAAGACAAGACACAGCUCUUUCUCCAAAACAGUAAGAGUUUGGUUUUUUUGUGCCAAAUAUGAGUGACCAGAACUCAGGAACACAGAUUCAAAAGACAAACGCCAGGGUCCCCAGGGGAAGACCUGAGAGAGAGAAGCUCACAAUGGACAAAUAAGAGUUCUAAGGAAGCCCCAAAGGCUGGACAUCCUCUCCUGCACGUGUGCCUCACGUCCAAGCAGCGUCAUUUUGCAUCAGCAGCUGACCCCCUCCAGGAGCGGGUGCUGACAUCUAAUUGGCACUGAAAACGAUGAUCAUGACAACCACUUGAUGUUGCUGGAGGCUUUUGCCAUUUAUCUGGGAGUCUGGACCCACCUGCCUGAUAAUUUAAGAGUUCAUCUUCCUGUUUGCCUUUGAUGUACCCUGGGAACAUGGCUCCCUAGUUUCCCUGGGAACACAUACCCUCACCUGGAUUCCAGCCUCACACCAUGGAGACGUGGCUCCAUGGCAGACCAAGGAAUUCUUCCUAUGAUCUGAGUGGGAUUGCAGGCUGCCUGUUGGAUAGAUGUCUCCAGAGCAUCCUUACAUUUCCGUCACUUGCUUUGCAGACAUGAGGUCCUGAGUUUGCCCCUAGGAGCCAUGGAAAAAGCUGGGUCUGAUAACGGGUUUAUAAUCACAGCCCUGAGGAGGCAGAGACAGGGGGACCCCCAGGUCCUGGACACCCAGCUGAACUUAACCAGUGAAUUCCAGGCCAGUGAGGGACCAUUUCCAAAAAAAAAAAAGUGAUGCUAGGCAUGGUGGCAAACCCCUUUAAUCACAGUGUUUGGGAGGCAGAGGCAGGCAGAUCUUUCUGAGUUUAAGACCAGCCUCUCCCUGUGAUGACAUAUUU
rnacentral:lncRNA from 1 species